AUGCCUCGCUUCUCCUCCACCACGCCCAUGUCGCCACUCCGCCUCCGCCUCCGCCUCCGACUCGGCGCCCGCCACUCCUCCUCCACCUCCCAUUCCUCACGCAGCUGGGAUCCCCACUCCGCCUUCGCCGCCGCCGCGGAGCGUGCGCGCUCUGGCAUCCUCACCCCGGAGGACGCACACCACCUGUUCGACGAAUUGCUCCGGCAGGGCAAUCCUGUCCAGGACCGCCCCUUGAACAAACUUCUCUCCGCCCUCGCCCGUGCUCUGGCGUCCGCGACCUGCAGAAACGGCCCUGCACUCGCGGUCGCCCUCUUCAGCCGCAUAUCCCAAGGUGCCCGCCGACGUGUGGCAGAGCCAACGGCCUGCACCUACGGCAUCCUCAUGGACUGCUGCUGCCGCGCACACCGCCUCGAUCUGGUGUUCGCUUUCUUCGGCCGUCUCCUCAGGACGGGACUUAAGGCAGGCGUCAUUCAAGUUUGCACUCUUCUCAAGGGCCUCUGCCGCGCAAAGCGGGCUGAUGAGGCUCUCGACGUGCUGCUUCACAGGAUGCCUGAGCUGGGCUGCACCCCCAACGUGGUGGCAUAUACCACGGUCAUCCACGGCUUCUUUAAGGAAGGCCAAGUAGGCAAGGCAUGCAAUCUGUUCCAUGGAAUGGCGCAGCAGGGCGUUGCGCCUAAUUUGGUGACAUAUAACUCGGUUAUUGAUGCGUUGUGCAAGGCCAAAGCAAUGGACAAGGCAGAGUAUUUCCUUGGUCAGAUGGUUGAUGAUGGUGUCGUACCUGAUAAUGUGACAUAUAAUAGCCUCAUCCAUGGAUAUUCCUCUUCAGGCCACUGGAAGGAGGCAGUUAGGGUAUUCAAAGAGAUGACAAGUCGGAGGGUUACAGCAGAUGUGCAUACUUACAACAUGUUUAUGACCUUUCUUUGCAAACAUGGAAGAAGCAAAGAAGCUGCAGGAAUUUUUGAUACCAUGGCUAUCAAGGGCCUGAAACCUGACAACGUUUCAUAUGCUAUUCUCCUUCAUGGGUAUGCCACCGAAGGAUGCUUAGUUGAUAUGAUUAAUCUCUUCAAUUCAAUGGAAAGAGAUUGUAUUCUACCUGACUGUCGUAUCUUCAACAUACUGAUUAAUGCAUAUGCUAAAUCUGGGAAGCUUGAUAAGGCUAUGCUUAUCUUCAAUGAAAUGCAGAAACAAGGAGCGAGUCCAGAUGCAGUCACGUAUUCAACUGUAAUAGAUGCAUUUUGCAAAAAGGGUCAGUUGGACGAUGCUAUGAUAAAGUUUAAUCAGAUGAUUGAUACAGGAGUACCACAGGGCACAGCUGUUUAUGGUUCUCUAAUCCAGGGUUUUUGUACACACGGCGAUUUGGUGAAAGCAAAGGAAUUGGUUACUGAAAUGAUGAACAAAGGUAUACCUCCUCCUGAUAUUAAGUUCUUCCAUUCAAUCAUGCAGAACCUUUGCACAGAAGGAAGGGUAAUAGAAGCACGGGAUGUCCUUGGCUUGAUAGCGCACAUAGGUAUGAAGCCUAAUGUUUGCACAUUUAAUAUACUGGGCGGUGGAUAUUGCCUAGUCGGCAAGAUGGAGGAUGCCUCAAAAAUAUUUGAUGAUAUGAUGUCAUAUGGCUUAGAACCUUCUAAUAUUACGUAUGGUAUACUUAUUAAUGGCUAUUGCAAAAACGAAAGGAUUAACGAUGGGUUGAUUCUGUUCAAAGAAAUGUUGCGCAAGGGACUUAAACCUACAACUUUUAAUUACAACGUCAUACUGGAUGGAUUAUUUCUAACUGGACGAACUGUUGCUGCAAAGGAAAAGUUUGAUGAGAUGGUUGAAUCUGGAGUAAGUGUGUGCAUUGAUACAUAUUCGAUAGUUCUUGGUGGACUUUGUAGAAAUAAUUGUAGCGGCGAAGCAAUCAUGCUAUUCCAGAAAUUAAGCACAAUGGAUGUGAAAUUCAAUAUUACAAUUGUCAAUAUAAUGAUUGAUGCCUUCUACAGGGUUCAGCGAAACCAAGAAGCCAAGGAUUUGUUUGCUGCAGUAUCAGCCAAUGGUUUGGUAGGUAAUGUCUUUACCUACACCAUAAUGAUGAAAAAUCUUAUAAAAGAAGGGUCAGUGGAAGAAGCUGACGAUCUCUUUUUAUCAAUGGAGAAGAGCGGCUGUACUGCUGACUCUUAUAUGUUAAAUCUUAUCGUCAGAAUGUUACUGGAAAAAGGAGAGCUAGUCAAGGCUGGGAAUUAUAUGUCUAAAGUUGAUGCAAUGAGCUACUCACUUGAAGCUGAAACCGUUUCGCUGCUUAUCUCUCUCUUUUCAGGGAAAGGGAAAUAUAGAGAACACAUAGGAUUGCUCCCUGCAAAGUAUCGGUUUCGUGAAGAAGCAGCCACAGUUGUG
rnacentral:rRNA from 1 species